rnacentral:rRNA from 1 species
CCUACGGGUGGCAGCAGUGGGGAAUAUUGCACAAUGGGGGAAACCCUGAUGCAGCGACGCCGCGUGAGUGAAGAAGUAUUUCGGUACGUAAAGCUCUAUCAGCAGGGAAGAAAAUGACGGUACCUGACUAAGAAGCCCCGGCUAACUACGUGCCAGCAGCCGCGGUAAUACGUAGGGGGCAAGCGUUAUCCGGAUUUACUGGGUGUAAAGGGAGCGUAGACGGCAGCGCAAGUCUGGAGUGAAAUCCCAUGGCUUAACCAUGGAACUGCUUGGGAAACUGUGCAGCUAGAGUGCAGGAGAGGUAAGCGGAAUUCCUAGUGUAGCGGUGAAAUGCGUAGAUAUUAGGAGGAACACCAGUGGCGAAGGCGGCUUACUGGACUGUAACUGACGUUGAGGCUCGAAAGCGUGGGGAGCAAACAGGAUUAGAUACCCCAGUAGUC